rnacentral:rRNA from 1 species
UUGGACCUGAUAUCAGGUAGGAUUACCCGCUGAAUUUAAGCAUAUAAUUAAGCGGAGGAAAAGAAACUAACAAGGAUUCCCCUAGUAACGGCGAGUGAAGCGGGAAAAGCUCAAGCUUAAAAUCUCCAUAGCUUUGUUAUGGCGAAUUGUAGUCUAUUGAAGAUGUUGCCAGCAACAUUCCUUUGGAAAAGUCCCUUUGAAAAGGGCAGCAUAGAGGGUGAAACUCCCGUCUUUGCCAAAGGUAAUGUGCGUACGGCACUCUUUCUUUGAGUCGAGUUGCUUGGGAAUGCAGCUCAAAGUAGGUGGUAAAUUCCAUCUAAAGCUAAAUAUGUGUGUGAGACCGAUAGCGAACAAGUACCGUGAGGGAAAGAUGAAAAGAACUUUGAAAAGAGAGUUAAACAGUGCCUGAAACUGCUGAAAGGGAACCGAAUCGUCGCCAGUGUCUUAUUCUUUGCAUAUUUCAGUGGUUAAGCAAUUGGCUGUAGUGUCGAACAGAAGUUUUUCUUCGUUCUAGCUGCAGUAUUGGUUGUUUGACUGCUGCCCUGUGCAGAGAUGUGAUGUCAAGAUCAGUUUAUAUUUCGUGGGAAAUGGUCUCUGGGAAGGUGAGUUAAGCGAGUUUACUUGUUUGACUGUUAUAUCCGAAAGAGAUUUUGUCAUGAAUAAGACUGAGGAUACAACAUGCAAUGAGGUUGUGUGGUUUUCUUUGUGAAUGCAAUGAAUGUAGAGCUUGCUGUGCUUUUGUUGUUAUUUGUAAACUGGCUAUACAAUCUGUGCUGUUCGGGAUCUUGGCAAAAUGGAACGAUCCGUCCCGUCUUGAAACACGGACCAAGGAGUCUAACAUGUGUGCGAGUAUUAGGGUGGCAAACCCAAGUGCGAAAUGAAAGUGAAUGCAGGCAUUAGUCUGCUUAGGUAGGAGGAUUGUUCCCUCGGGAGCGAUCUGCACUAUCGACCGAUCAAGAUCCUUUUGGUGAAAGAUUUGAGUAUGAGCAUAUAUGUUGGUACCCGAAAGAUGGUGAACUAUGCCUGAAUAGGGUGAAGCCAGGGGAAACUCUGGUGGAAGCUCGUAGCGAUUCUGACGUGCAAAUCGAUCGUCAAAUUUGGGUAUAGGGGCGAAAGACUAAUCGAACCAUCUAGUAGCUGGUUCCCUCCGAAAUUUCCCUCAGGAUAGCAGCAACUUUUGGUGAUAGUUUUAUGAGGUAAAGCGAAUGAUUAGAGGCCUCGGGGAUGAAACAUCCUCGACCUAUUCUCAAACUUUAAAUGGGUAAGACGCAUGGGUUUCUUAACUGAACUUAUGCGCACUUGUUUCGGCAAGUGCAUCACGAAUAUCAUAGUUGUUAGUGGGCCAUACCGGGUAAGCUGGUCUGGCGAUGCGGGAUGAACCGAACGCAAAGUUAAAGUGCCAAAGUGCCCGCUCACCUAGAUACCAUAAAAGG